rnacentral:rRNA from 1 species
UACGGAGGGUGCAAGCGUUCUCCGGAUUCACUGGGUUUAAAGGGUGCGUAGGUGGCUUUGUAAGUCAGUGGUGAAAUGCCGGAGCUUAACUCCGGAACUGCCAUUGAUACUGCUUAGCUUGAAUCACGUCGAGGUGGAUGGAAUAUUACAUGUAGCGGUGAAAUGCUUAGAUAUGUAAUAGAACACCGAUUGCGAAGGCAGUUCACUAGGCGUGUAUUGACACUGAGGCACGAAAGCGUGGGGAUCAAACAGG